rnacentral:rRNA from 1 species
GUUCAGAGUUGUACUAAUUACCGUGGAAUUAAGCUGAUGAGCCAUACAAUGAAGCUAUGGGAGAGAGUCAUUGAGCACCGCUUAAGAAGAAUGACAAGCGUGACCAAAAGUCAGUUUGGUUUCAUGCCUGGGAGGUCGACCAUGGAAGCCAUUUUCUUGGUACGACAAAUUAUGGAGAGAUAUAGGGAGCAAAAGAAGGACUUGCAUAUGGUGUUCAUUGACUUGGAGAAGGCCUAUGAUAAGAUACCGCGGAAUGUCAUGUGGUGGGCCUUGGAGAAACACAAAGUCCCAGCAAAGUACAUUACCCUCAUCAAGGACAUGUACGAUAAUGUUGUGACAAGUGUUCGAACAAGUGAUGUCGACACCGAUGACUUCCCGAUUAAGAUAGGACUGCAUCAGGGGUCAGCUUUG